CAGAAUGAACGCUGGCGGCAUGGAUUAGGCAUGCAAGUCGAACGAGAAAGCGCCUCGGGCGCGAGUAAGUGGCGCAAGGGUGAGUAACACGUGAGGAACCUGCCCCCGAGCCCGGAACAAGCCUGGGAAACCGGGUCUGAAACCGGAUGAGGCCUCCGACCGCAUGGUCGGCGGGCCAAAUAUUCAUAGCUUGGGGAUGGCCUCGCGUCCCAUUAGCUUGUUGGCGGGGUGACGGCCCACCAAGGCGACGACGGGUAGGUGGUCUGAGAGGAUGGUCACCCACACUGGGACUGAGACACUGCCCAGACUCCUACGGGAGGCUGCAGUCGAGAAUCUUCCGCAAUGGGCGCAAAGCCUGACGGAGCGAUGCCGCGUGAGGGACGAAGGCCCUAGGGUUGUAAACCUCUGUCGUCCGGGACGAAGACAAUGACGGUACCGGGCAAGAAAGCCACGGCUAACUACGUGCCAGCCGCCGC
rnacentral:rRNA from 1 species